CCUACGGGAGGCAGCAGUCGAGAAUCAUUCACAAUGGGGGAAACCCUGAUGCAGCGACGCCGCGUGGGUGAAGGAGCGUUUCGGCGCGUAAAGCCCUAUCGGCAGGGAAGCAGAUGACGGUACCUGACCAAGAAGCCCCGGCUAACUACGUGCCAGCAGCCGCGGUAAUACGUAGGGGGCAAGCGUUAUCCGGAUUUUCUGGGGGUAAAGGGGGCGCAGACGGCAAUGCAAGCCAGGAGUGAAAGCCCGGGGCCCAACCCCGGGACUGCUCUUGGAACUGCAUGGCUGGAGUACAGGAGGGGCAGGCGGAAUGCCUGGUGUAGCGGUGAAAUGCGUAGAUAUUAGGAGGAACACCGGUGGCGAAGGCGGCCUGCUGGACUGUGACUGACGUUGAGGCCCGAAGGCGUGGGGAGCAAACAGGAUUAGAUACCCGGGUAGUC
rnacentral:rRNA from 1 species